GUGAGGACUCGGGAGGUGGAGGGUGGCGCUGGCAGGCCCGGCGCCGGCUCAGCUCGCCUCCCCCCACCUCCUCUCUCCUCAG
rnacentral:pre_miRNA from 1 species